rnacentral:antisense_RNA from 1 species
CGGCCUCCCAAAGUGCUGGGAUUACAGGUGGAGACUGGACCUCAGAGAGGGAGUGGGUGCCCUGAGAACUCACAGCUGGCGGACAGCGGAAAGGGCAGAACCCGGACCAAGGUGAGGACAGCGGAACUGAAGUUCUGCUGGUUACCUCUCCUGCCCUCCGCUGGCCGCACUGGAGAAGACAGCCCCUCCCUCCUGCUCUGACCUGACAGUGUUCAUCCAUCGCCCUCUAUUAGGGAAGAACAACAUCAAGCUGGCUAGCAAGGAACUGUAUACAGGGUCCAGCUGGGUAUCACACUGGAUCUCACCCAAAGCUGAGAUGUGAUCCAGCUCAGUAUCACAAAGCAGAACGAAAAGGAUGUGUUCGGGCUGAGAGGCAAUACAUUGAUGGAGUCUCGCUCUGUCGCCCAGGCUGGAGUCCAGUGGCGCGAUCUCGGUUCACUGCAAGCUCUGCCUCCCGGGUUCAUGCCAUUCUCCUGCCUCAGCCUCCCGAGUAGCUGGGACUACAGGCGCCCGCCACCACGCCUGGCUAUUUUUUUUUUUGAGAUGGAGUCUCACUCUGUUACCCAGGCUG